GCCAGCGCUCGGGAGGCCGGGCUGGUUCUCCGAAAGCCCCUGCCAGGCCUGCAUUUUUUUUUCUUUCUUCUUUCGCAUCUGAGGGUUUUGCCUCCCACUAGAGAGAAAUCAAUUUUUUUUAAGAUGUGCUGGGUUUCCAAUAAAUAGCAUCCUCGGAUGGCGGAGAAGGGGAAUGACGCCCUCACCCUGCCACACACCCCCCACGCCAGCCCGCAGCUCUGAAUCGGCUUUUCUUUCUUAGGCGGCCGCACUGUUACCAUUCCAGGCUUGUGUGGGAGAAGACUUGUGCGCCUGUGUCUGCCCGCCCUGCCGGCUCCAGCCUCGGGUUGAUAAAAGGCUGGCAGCGAAUCAUGACAGCUGUACUGGCGUCACAGCCAAACACAGAGAGAGGCUGUUUGUUCCAGAGUCUCCUCGGGAGUAAGUUUUAGCUCCAGGCAUGGAGCAUGGACCUAGACUAAAGACCACCAGAGUGUCUUCUUGGUCUGCCCGGCUACAGACAGAAGGUUCUGAUGCAUGGACUUCAACAACUGCUCCUGCCCCAGCUCUUUCUGGCUCAUGCACUCCCAUGUGCUUUGGACAGACGGAAUUACUGCAAGUCUCCACAUGAGUGAUGGACUUAAGUUACUGAACUCAUUUUUUCCUAAAGUAUUCUAAAGCCUUGCUUUGAUCUUGAGAUAUUUUCAAAAGAUUCCUACCACUUCAUAUUCCAUGAGCUGAGAAUCUACUAGGGACUAACAGCUCAAGAAACUCAUCUAAAAGCCUGUGUACCUAGGUCCAGUAUCAUUUCUUGAAAUAUUUGGUGCUCAAUCCUACCCUGCCUCGCUACCCUGGAUGUCACAGGGUUGACACGUCUGAGAAGCACUGUUACAGUGCAGUUAGGCAUGGUUACCCAGCACUCAGCUUUUGUGGGUUGGCGUCAUUGCAGUCCUAGAAGAAAACGUGUGUGCACCGUGGAGCAUUUUGUACAAAACUCUGCAUACCUGACACAGUUGUAACACCCUCUCCCCAACCAUCGUCUCCAAGGUUGAUGGUUUGGAGUUGUGGGUGAAUUUAAGCUGGAUAACUGGUCCAGUUCCCCUCUUUGGUUCUUUGCCAAGCUAGUGAAGGGAGUGGGGAGGCUGUCAGAAGCUACCAUGUCAAGGUGUGACAAGAAGAGGGGAAACAGCCAGAUCUCUCCCCAGCGGAGAGACACAGUGUGAGGCAGACAGCCCUGGAACCCUCACUAGUCCUGUCUAAGAGCAUCAUUAUUAUAAUCCGGAAUGACAGAUGAGAUUCACGAUUACAACCUGUGCCAGUAAGAGAGGUCUGCAGUUACGGCCACACUGCUCUCUUCCAGGACAGGUAGCGAUAAUACAUUUCAGAAAGUCUUUCACAGACGAGUGGCUAGGUGUGGACAUUGAAAAUGACACAUUUGAAUUAUCUGGGAAAAUCGCUUCCGCAAGCUACCUCCAUUCCAGUGAGUAGGAUGGAAAAUUGAAAACGGAGAGGAGACCAGGCUCUUCGUUUCAGUCGAGGUAUUAACCAGCUGAGCGGUGUAGGCCUUCAGUUUCCUUAUCUUGAAACCAGAAAGGCCCACAUUUCCAAUGUCUAUUAUGGUGGCCACUUGCCACAUCCAGCUAUUUAAAUUUAAAUCAAUUUAAAAUAAAUAGAUUUGAAAUUGUCUAGGUAGCCCCAUUGAGCAGUGGAUCCUUUUAGGUCACAGCUGAUUGGGCCAGGAGCAGUCCUUUGCCCCACGCACAGCUAGCGCUCCCUUGGGAAUUCGGUGCUGAGGUUCAGAUACGGUCUCUGUAGGAGGCUGGAACUAGAACAGAUUAGCACAAGAGCUGAGUGGGCAAAUGACAUCGUACAGACUUGGAGAUGCAGAGGAAGCCUGUGAAGAGAGAAAAAAGAAAAAACAAGCAGGCAGAAACGCACAGAGACUAGGGACAGAGUCUGGGUGGCUUUCUGAUUCCUGGUUCCUGAAGCCUACUUACUUUCUUCUGUUUCCCCUUUUUGGGAAAGAAUUGUAUGUUUAUGUGACGUUCUUCCUUAUUUAUUCAAGCUGGCUCAGUCAGUUUCUGUUACUUGUAACCGAAGAGCCCUAUCUGACUCGGGAUCUUGGAGCUGAGAAAGCUCUGAAGCGCUAUCCAAGCUCAGCAGGAUAUGGUGAUCGACUGAUGAUGUCUGUCAUGGCCACGGGAUGGAGGAAACAACAAAGACGUCCACACCUGUUAUUGCACUUAGGCCUGAAAUUCAGAGAGUUGGCAUUUACCCAAAGUCAGCGUUUUGGAAGAAGUUUGAACUAAGUCAUUCAUGCAAUCUUGAAUUUCAAGUACGAAAAAUCCCCACAGUUUUCCACUUAAAAAGAAAUAAAAAGUUUGACAGCUAUGUACCGAGAAGUUAUCACACAUUGGAGACUGUCAGCUUCCAACUUGGCAGGCUACAGCAAUCACCGAAGGGGAAAUUC